UCUUUAAUUUUAGGCUCACCUGUAGUGGAAUGUGAUUUAGUAGAUUCCUUGUCUACUUCUUGCUCAGCCUGUGCUGUCUAAACAUAGGAUGUGCUGCUCAGGUCCAUGUGCUUGCUUUCAUUGUUAGGGAGAAGCUGGCAGCUCUGAGGGAAGCAGGCUGAAGCCAAAUACUGAACUGCAUGCUGGAGGCUGCUGUUGACUGCAGAAGGAGUUGAAGUGACCAGCUGAGAGCAGCUUCUAGAUGGGUAAAGCCAGUAUUAAAGGCAGAAAUCAAAGCACAGGACCCAUGGGAAGCGACGUUUCAAAUGUACACCAUUGCUUUUCUUUGUCAUUGUUCUGAACUAUGCACCCUCUGCUCCUGACAGCACACCCACAACAAGAUAAGGAGUUUGGGUGUGCUUACGUGUCUUCUGUGGGAAGAUGAGCAGCGGCUUGCCAUGAAAACGGCUUGCCAUGGAAGAAGAUAUAAUGAAUGCAUCUUCUCUGCAUCAAGAAAAAGGCUACUCAAACUUAAGACAACAUUUUAAUCUCAGUCAAAAUGGGGCAUCUUCAACAUAAGGUUGUCUGCAGUCAUGGGGCACGUCUCAAACGUUAACAAACACCAUAUUUGGUGCUUCUUCCACUGCCCAAGAAUAUAACUUUAUCAAAAG
rnacentral:lncRNA from 1 species